rnacentral:rRNA from 1 species
GACGAACGCUGGCGGCGUGCCUAAUACAUGCAAGUAGAACGCACAGUUUAUACCGUAGCUUGCUACACCAUAGACUGUGAGUUGCGAACGGGUGAGUAACGCGUAGGUAACCUGCCUGGUAGCGGGGGAUAACUAUUGGAAACGAUAGCUAAUACCGCAUAAUAUUGAUUAUUGCAUGAUAAUUGAUUGAAAGAUGCUAUUGCAUCACUACCAGAUGGACCUGCGUUGUAUUAGCUAGUAGGUGGGGUAACGGCUCACCUAGGCGACGAUACAUAGCCGACCUGAGAGGGUGAUCGGCCACACUGGGACUGAGACACGGCCCAGACUCCUACGGGAGGCAGCAGUAGGGAAUCUUCGGCAAUGGACGAAAGUCUGACCGAGCAACGCCGCGUGAGUGAAGAAGGUUUUCGGAUCGUAAAGCUCUGUUGUAAGAGAAGAACGGGUGUGAGAGUGGAAAGUUCACACUGUGACGGUAUCUUACCAGAAAGGGACGGCUAACUACGUG